rnacentral:rRNA from 1 species
UACAGAGGGUGCAAGCGUUAAUCGGAAUUACUGGGCGUAAAGCGCACGUAGGCGGUUUUUUAAGUCAGAUGUGAAAGCCCCGGGCUCAACCUGGGAAUUGCAUUUGAAACUGGGAAACUAGAGUGUGUGAGAGGGGGGUAGAAUUCCAAGUGUAGCGGUGAAAUGCGUAGAGAUUUGGAGGAAUACCAGUGGCGAAGGCGGCCCCCUGACACAACACUGACGCUCAGGUGCGAAAGCGUGGGGAGCAAACAGG